rnacentral:tRNA from 1 species
GGUGGCUCAGUGGCAGAGCACUUGCCUUGCAUGCAUGAGACCCUGGGUUCGAUUCCUUAGCACCA